CAGCCGCCACGGUAAUACGAAGGGUGCAAGCGUUACUCGGAAUUACUGGGCGUAAAGCGUGCGUAGGUGGUGGUUUAAGUCCGUUGUGAAAGCCCUGGGCUCAACCUGGGAAUUGCAGUGGAUACUGGGUCACUAGAGUGUGGUAGAGGAUAGUGGAAUUUCCGGUGUAGCAGUGAAAUGCGUAGAGAUCGGAAGGAACAUCUGUGGCGAAGGCGACUAUCUGGGCCAACACUGACACUGAUGCACGAAAGCGUGGGGAGCAAACAGGAUUAGAUACCCGCGUAGUCCCUGUCUCUUAUAC
rnacentral:rRNA from 1 species